GUGGGGAAUAUUGGACAAUGGGCGCAAGCCUGAUCCAGCCAUGCCGCGUGAGUGAUGAAGGCCCUAGGGUUGAAAAGCUCUUUCAGUGGGGACGAUAAUGACGGUACCCACAGAAGAAGCCCCGGCUAACUUCGUGCCAGCAGCCGCGGUAAUACGAAGGGGGCUAGCGUUGUUCGGAUUUACUGGGCGUAAAGCGCACGUAGGCGGAUCGUUAAGUCGAGGGUGAAAUCCUGGAGCUCAACUCCAGAACUGCCUUCGAUACUGGCGAGCUUGAGUCCGGAAGAGGUGAGUGGAACUCCUAGUGUAGAGGUGGAAUUCGUAGAUAUUAGGAAGAACACCAGUGGCGAAGGCGGCUCACUGGUCCGGUACUGACGCUGAGGUGCGAAAGCGUGGGGGGCAAACAGGAUUAGAAACCCCGGUAGUCC
rnacentral:rRNA from 1 species